rnacentral:rRNA from 1 species
AGGGCACCACCAGGAGUGGAGCCUGCGGCUUAAUUUGACUCAACACGGGGAAACUUACCCGGCCUGGACACUGGAAGGAUUGACAGAUUGAGAGCUCUUUCUUGAUUCAGUGGGUGGUGGUGCAUGGCCGUUCUUAGUUGGUGGAGCGAUUUGUCUGGUUAAUUCCGAUAACGAACGAGACUCUAGCCUAUUAAAUAGGCUCUCGGCUUUUAAACGCCGGGAGGACUUCUUAGAGGGACAGGUGGCGGUUCAGCCGCACGAAAGAGAGCAAUAACAGGUCUGUGAUGCCCUUUGUUGUCCGGGGCCGCACGCGCGCUACACUGAAGGGAUCAGCGUGCUUUACGUUCCUGCUCCGACCGGAGUGGGGAACCCAGUGAACCUUCUUCGUGGUUGGGAUAGAAGAUUGUAAUUAUUCUUCUUGAACGAGGAAUUCCCAGUAAAUGCGAGUCAUAAGCUCGCGUUGAUUACGUCCCUGCCCUUUGUACACACCGCCCGUCGCUACUACCGAUUGAACGAUUU